rnacentral:tRNA from 1 species
GCAGCCCUAGCUCAGUUGGUAGAGCACGUGACUGAAAAUCACGGGGUCCCCAGUUCGAUUCUGGGGGGCUGCA